rnacentral:lncRNA from 1 species
GGAAGGUCCUGGAAGGUUGUUGGGCACAUGCUGAUGGAUGACCAGUGAGAGGUCCCUGUGCCAGCUCUGAGCCCAGCCUCCCACACCCCCUCACUGCUGGGGGAACUCAGAAGGCUGGGAUGGCCCAUCCACCCUGCUCUUCUCCAUGGGACCUGACGCUGGUGAGCUGAGCACAGGGCCCCCGCGUCACAUGAGGAAGCCUAAGGCGUUGCUGAGUAGACCAAGGGCGACACUGGCUUUGGCAAUGAUACGACUGGAGGCUCUAGGUCAGCGGUCACCGGGCGUGCGACUUCCGGCUGCUCCAUCAGGCGAGCGGGCGGGGCAGCAGCGAAUCAGCUGACAGGUUCUGGAGAAGCUUCCAGCCGGCUGCUCUGUUGUUCUCUGAAUGCAGACGGUGGUGGAGCCCUGUCUUGGCCCGCAGCCGUUAGGAUAUUUCUCAGGGAAAGCCCUUGGACCAAGAAGUCUGUUUUUUCGUUGGAAACUAUGAGACUCUCUGCAAAAACAAAGGAAUUUGGAUUCUGUUCAGGAAAAAUGUAACCUACAAACAAAUAGCCUUGGAAAAUCUGUGCCUCCCCCUCGGUGCCUGGGUCAGGCACAGGGACAGCCCCACCCCCGAGCUGCUUUCGAGCUGGAGGCCACCUCCUUUUUCCUCUUCUGUGUGUUGUCUCUGGCUGCCCAGAGGGCAGUGCCUCCUCUCCAUGCCUUCCCCUGCCCUGCCGCCCAGGGCCCCUGUCUCUGCAGUGCCCUUGAUCUGGUUGGAAUGCUCUUCCCUUCCCUCGCUGCAACCCUUCCUCAUUCUUUAAGACCCAGUUCCAAUGUCUCCCCUCCGGUUCUGAGUUCCCCAGGUGGCUAGUUGCUCUGCUAUUAUGUUGCUCUGAAUAAUUUCGAAUUUAAAUAUACUUCCCUUUUCUUUCAGAUAGCAAUCCCUGAUUUUAUUCUUUUAGGAAAUAUGGUAAUAAUACUGACUGCCACUCUUAAACUCUUGCUAUGUGCCAAGCGGGGUUGUACAUUAUGGUACCCACUGCAUGCGCAAAGUGAUUAGGAAAAAACUGGCACAUAGUGAGGAGUCAGUAAAAGUUACUUCUUAUUAUCCUUCUUUUAUCUUAAUUCUCGCAUAGCACUUGCAGCAAGUAAGAUUUGUCAUGCACAUUAUGAUGAUCGGGUUCCUCGUCUGUGAGCUCCUUGAAGGUGGGGACUGUGUCUUCUUGCUUGUCCAAGUCUGUGGACGUGCAAAGGGUGUUUGGUGAGUGAACAUUUAGCCAUUGAAACUGAUGACUGAGUGCCGAGAUUUACUUUGUGAGUUUCCAAAUCAACUGAGAGUGGCUUUGGCCUUAAGAAUAGGUAUGGGGACUCAGAAGAUCUGGGCUUAAUUCUAUUCCAGCUACCUGCCAGCUUUGUGACCUUGGGUACAUCAGCCAAUCUUUUCUGAACCCAAAAACCUAUUUUUCAAAAUGGGUGUCAUAGUCCCUAACUUGCCUUCCUCACAGGUUUUCCUUGAGCGUCAGAUGAGCUCACACAUAGGAGAGUUUUGUGAAUUGUAAAGUAUUUUACACACGUGAGACAUUAUUGUUGGAAUCAUUUUGGACCCCGUGCCAUCACCACCAAACGUGGCAGAAUAUGAGCCCUCGGGUAGCUCUAGCUGGACAAAUAGCAAUGUGCUGCUUUUGGUUUUCACAGUGUUUAAAAAUGUAGUCCCGUAAUGUUUGUAACCGGUGUUUCUUCUCCUCAAAGCAUGCAUCCAAGGUAUUAGUCUCAGUCCUUUUAAAGGUUUUAAAAAGGGCCUUGAUUUUCCUGCUUGGCUGCUGUAAAAUCUAUAACCCUGAACGUCACGGUGACGUUCUCUCUCAGGAAACGUCCGCAAGAAUUGUAACUGAACAAAAACAGUAUUUAUUUUCCUUUUUAAUUCAAGAAGCUAAAUGCUAGGGAGUAGAAGGAGAGAUGAGAAGAAGUGUAAGAGAUGGGCUUGCUCUCAGGGAGCUCACAGGCUGGUUUGGGAGCCGGGUCUGGGUCCUAGGCUUGUGGGCAAAGGACGUGAUCUGAGGAAGGAGAGACCUGCAGUGUUGAGGUGGUCUGUGAAGGUUGCAGGGAGAAAGCGGGCCUGUGUUAAGCUUAAAGGAAGACCAUUGUUUGGACCACGACCCUGGGAGCAUAAUUCAUAAGCCAGGGCCCGGCCGCUGACUACUGCUGCUCUCAGUUCCCCUUUCAGCAGGAUUGUGAUUUCUUUAGUUCUUGGGGGCUCAGGAGGAAGACAUGAGGACGUUCUAGACAUGCACUCACGGACAAACGUCUGAAUCCAAAAAACUAAUAUUUUGUGACCGAUGCUUUCAUGAUGAGGAAAUAAAAACUCCUUACUUUUUUUUUAAAAAACGUUUUGGCCGUGAUGUACUUGGCUUAAAAGAUGUCAGAAAGAAAGCCGUUUAUAGAGAAUCGUAAUACUCUAACUUCAGCAUAACGCUAACAACAAAGGUGCCCCUGGAUCGCUAAGGUUAACACACACUGCUGAGAAUAUGGGAUGGCAGUAACAAGAACCCAAAGAAGGAAAUAUUAAAAAUACGCAAUUAGGAACUAUUUAGGAAAGAAAGUGAGAACACCAGGUCUGGAAAUGUAUACAACACAGCCAAAGCCGUAGUCAGAGGUAAAUUCAAAGCAUUAAUGCUAUCACUUAAGAAUAAGAAUAAAUGAAAAGAAAGUAACUACAUGUCUAACUUAAGAAUUUAGAAAAUGGGGGCCGGCCCGGUGGCGCAGCGGUUAAGUUCACACGUUCUGAUUCUCGGUGGCCCGGGGUUCAGUGGUUCGGAUCCUGGAUGCGGACAUGGCGCCGCUUGGCACGCCCUGCUGAGGUAGGCGUCCCACGUAUAAAGUAGAAGGAGAUGGGCAUGAUGUUAGCUCAGGGCCAGGCUUCCUCAGCAAAAAAGAGGAGGACUGCCAGUAGUUAGCUCAGGGCUAAUCUUCCUCAAAGAAAGAAAUAAAUAAAAGAAUUUAGAAAAUGGGCAGCAAAACAAGACCAAGAAAAGCAAGACAAUAAAAAAUACAAGGAUGAUAAGUGAAUUAGAAAAUCAACAAAGUAGGAGAAUUCGUAAAUAAAUCCAUAAGAUGGUUCUUUGGAGGGCAACGUAAAAUAGGAAAACCUCUAGAAAAUCUGCUUAAGAGAAAAAAAUCAAAUAACUAAUAUCUGAAAAAUUUCUACUGUUUGUAAAGCAUGUCCCCAUUCCGUAUCACUCUUGGUCGCUAAGCUAAUCCUGUCUGUUAUAUAUUUGUAUCCCUAUUUUGCUAGUGAUCAAACUGAGAAUCAAACAAGUGAGGUUACUUUUUAGGGUCAUACAACUAGUGAGUAGUUAAAGCCGUGAUUUGAAGCAGGUCUGCUAACUUUGUUGAAUAUUCUUCCAAUCAUCCCAUAGCAUCCUCUCAGGAUGAAUUCAAGAAAGGAAGAGUGGAACAUUUAGCAUGUCUCCGUUGGUCUCCUGGGACCGCCGUAACACAUCACCACGCAUUCCUGCUGGCUUGGAGCAAUAGGAAUUUCUUCUGUCACAGUUCUGGAGCCUAGAAGUCCAAAACCAAGUUGUGAGCAGGGCCAUGCUCCCUCUGAAGGCUCUCGGGGAGAGUCCUCGCUGUCUCUCCCAGCCUCUGGAGGUGGCCGUAGUCCUUAGUGUCCUCGACUUGCAGCUCUAGCAUCUAACUUCUGCCCCCAUCUUCCCAGGGUUUUCUCCCUCUGUGUCUUGACUUUGUCUCCAUCUGCGCAUAUGUCUCCUCUGUUUUCCCUUCUUGUGAGGAGUUAGUUUUCCAAAUCUACAAUUUUCCUUUCAGUAUAACUUCAUCUUAAUUGUGUCUGCUAUGACCCUAUUUCCAAAUAAAGUUACAUUCUGAGA